AGCGAACGCUGGCGGCAGGCCUAACACAUGCAAGUCGAACGAACUCUUCGGAGUUAGUGGCGGACGGGUGAGUAACACGUGGGAACGUGCCUUUUGGUUCGGAAUAACUCAGGGAAACUUGUGCUAAUACCGAAUGUGCCCUUCGGGGGUAAGAUUUAUCGCCAUUAGAUCGGCCCGCGUCUGAUUAGCUAGUUGGUGAGGUAACGGCUCACCAUGGCGACGAUCAGUAGCUGGUCUGAGAGGAUGACCAGCCACACUGGGACUGAGACACGGCCCAGACUCCUACGGGAGGCAGCAGUGGGGAAUCUUGCGCAAUGGGCGAAAGCCUGACGCAGCCAUGCCGCGUGAAUGAUGAAGGUCUUAGGAUUGUAAAAUUCUUUCACCGGGGACGAUAAUGACGGUACCCGGAGAAGAAGCCCCGGCUAACUUCGUG
rnacentral:rRNA from 1 species